GAUGAAGAACGUAGCGAAAUGCGAUAAGUAAUGUGAAUUGCAGAAUUCAGUGAAUCAUCGAGUCUUUGAACGCACAUUGCGCCCCCUGGUAUUCCGGGGGGCAUGCCUGUCCGAGCGUCAUUGCUGCCCUCAAGCACGGCUUGUGUGUUGGGCCUCCGUCCUCCUCCCGGGGGACGGGCCCGAAAGGCAGCGGCGGCACCGCGUCCGGUCCUCGAGCGUAUGGGGCUUCGUCACCCGCUCUUGUAGGCCCGGCCGGCGCUUGCCGACACAUCAAUCUUUUUUCCAGGUUGACCUCGGAUCAGGUAGGGAUACCCGCUGAACUUAAGCAUAUCAAUAAGCGGAAGA
rnacentral:misc_RNA from 1 species